UACGUAGGGUGCGAGCGUUGUCCGGAAUUAUUGGGCGUAAAGAGCUCGUAGGCGGUGUGUCGCGUCGGCCGUGAAAACCUGCAGCUUAACUGUGGGCUUGCGGUCGAUACGGGCAUCACUGGAGUUCGGCAGGGGAGACUGGAAUUCCUGGUGUAGCGGUGAAAUGCGCAGAUAUCAGGAGGAACACCGGUGGCGAAGGCGGUUCUCUGGGCAUGUCCUGACGCUGAGGAGCGAAAGCGUGGGGAGCAAACAGG
rnacentral:rRNA from 1 species